rnacentral:rRNA from 1 species
UCGAGCGGAGUGAUGGUGCUUGCACUAUCACUUAGCGGCGGACGGGUGAGUAAUGCUUAGGAAUCUGCCUAUUAGUGGGGGACAACAUUUCGAAAGGAAUGCUAAUACCGCAUACGUCCUACGGGAGAAAGCAGGGGAUCUUCGGACCUUGCGCUAAUAGAUGAGCCUAAGUCGGAUUAGCUAGUUGGUGGGGUAAAGGCCUACCAAGGCGACGAUCUGUAGCGGGUCUGAGAGGAUGAUCCGCCACACUGGGACUGAGACACGGCCCAGACUCCUACGGGAGGCAGCAGUGGGGAAUAUUGGACAAUGGGCGCAAGCCUGAUCCAGCCAUGCCGCGUGUGUGAAGAAGGCCUUAUGGUUGUAAAGCACUUUAAGCGAGGAGGAGGCUACUGAAGUUAAUACCUUCAGAUAGUGGACGUUACUCGCAGAAUAAGCACCGGCUAACUCUGUGCCAGCAGCCGCGGUAAUACAGAGGGUGCAAGCGUUAAUCGGAUUUACUGGGCGUAAAGCGCGCGUAGGCGGCUAAUUAAGUCAAAUGUGAAAUCCCCGAGCUUAACUUGGGAAUUGCAUUCGAUACUGGUUAGCUAGAGUGUGGGAGAGGAUGGUAGAAUUCCAGGUGU